CGUGAAACUGCUUAGAGGUUAAGCCCGAUGAACCUGAAUAUCCAUUAUGGAAAAUUCAUCACUAAUAAUAUGAUAUUUAAAAAUAAUAUUAUAAAAAUAGUGUGCACUUUUUCCAUAUAAGGACAUUGUAAUCUGUUAAUGUAAUAAAUAUUUAUCAGAAGAUCCAUUACUUAAGUUUAUUCAAAUUAGUUAUUUUCGAAUUUCUAACAUAAAAUAAAUGUUUUGGAUUUGAUAAAUCAUUGACAGAUAUAAUUAAAUAAUGUGCUUAAAUUUACAAUUUGUAAAUUUUACAAUGAUAAAUAGAUCUUAAUUGAUUUGUUUAUUUAAAAUUGUAUGCGCUAUUAUGAUUAACAAUGCGAUAGAUUCAGGAUACCUUCGGGACCCGUCUUGAAACACGGACCAAGGAGUCUAACAUAUGUGCAAGUCAUUGGGUAUUUUUAAUAAAACCCAAUGGCGUAAUUAACUUAACUGAUAAUAUAUAUGGGAUUAGUUUAUGUUUUAUAAUGAAAUUUAAAUACAAUCCCGGGGCGUUCUAUAUAGUUAUGCAUAAUGGUAUUUAUAUUAUUUAUGCCUCUAACUAGAGCGUACCUUGAGC
rnacentral:rRNA from 1 species